ensembl:lncRNA
AAGCCCCUGUCUCCAGGGGGAGCUCAGCACACAGCCCCACCAGCACCUCAGGGCGUCUGGCCCACAUGGCCCGUCCCAGGCCCAGCAGAGCUCCCCAGGCUGUCUGGGCUGCAGGGCUUCCAGCCUCCAGCACCGGGCAGGGCUCCACCAGGUCUUCUGUAGGGUUAGAGCAGCCCAGGGGCCUUGCCCUGCACAGGAGGCACACCCCUGCCUGGAGCCAGCCCGCCCGAGCUCGGCCAGUGGUGGGGGUCCAGGGAUCAGACCCGUGGCAGGGCACUACCCAGCAGGACCUCCGGCAGCGGCAGAGCAGAGCGAUGGGGAUGGACUCGGAGCCUGGCAGAGUGAAGGUGAGGGACAGGGACUCAAAUCCAGGUCUCCCGCACAGUAGCCCAGAGCACCUCCAGCCACAAGGGCCCUUUGCAGCGCUCGCCGCCUCUCCCAGCCAGCCCGGUUACAUCGCAGCUGGGCAGAGCGCUGGGCCUACAGCCCAAAUCCAUCCGAGCCCAGCACUGCCUGGCUCCCUCGAACCACAUGAUCUCCUGGACAGGGCCGUUCCUGAGGAAAUCCAUCUCCCCCUAGAACAGGAACACGUCCCAUAUGCUAAUGAGGAGCACAACUAGAAAACACUAGAGGGCAAAAGAAACUCUUUCUGUUUUGCAGAGUGAGGCUGCCGGGCUGUCAGCUCAGCGAGGUUCACAUACUGGGAUGAGCACUGGCUGCUAAACUUCCCCUCCCCGCCCCCCGUUUUUGGAGAACAAAAGCAUGGGGGACAACUGGAAGACGCGCUGCUGUGUUUUCCUGUCGGUUGCCUUCAUCUUAGUGUUAAUCGGGCUGAUUGCCUGCGUGGUCUAUAUCUCCUUUGCCCCGACCCAGCUGAGACAGUGCCAGGAGCAGCUGAAGAAAAACACCUCCACUCUGACGGGGAAACUCGCCAACCUGGAGGAGGAGAAGGGGGCCCUGGAACAGCAGCGGGAUGGGGCGAGGGCAGAGGUCACGGCGUUGCGGUCGGAGCUGGCUGGCACCAAUCAGACCAUCUGGGAGACGCGCGGGCGCUGGGAGUCCUGCAGGAGCCUGACGCACGUCCUGCAAAACAACAUCACUGCCCUGAAGGAUGAAAUCACCCAGCUGGGAGGCCGAGGCACCGAGCAAGGACGGGGACAAGGUGAAAUAGACACGCUCAAACAGCAGCUCCAGGAGGCUCAACGGCACAGUGAUAAACUCCAAGCUGACCUCCGGCGGCUGGAACAGCAGCAGCUCCAUAGCCCGAAGAACCAGAGCUCUGGUGGGAGCAGCCUCCGGAUCCCCCUCGUGGCCGGCUACCUGAACCUGCUGGCUCUGUCCCUCGCCGGGAUCCUGCUCCUGUGAGAGAAGCCGGUUCGCACAGGGCUGACCAGGCAGCGGGAGAGUGGAGAAUCCCCAUGAGACCAGGUCACACUGCAUAGCGCGGCCAGCUCGCCCCCAUCCCCAGAAUGCUCACGAGAACUCUUCUAAGCCACUAGCUUGCUUGGCAUUUCCCCCGGGUCGUGCAGGGGGGCGGGUUCCUGCCCAGCCCAGCCCUGGCGGAAGGAUCUCGUUGGCUCCUGCCCGGCACUGGAAGACGAUGGGGAAAUGGUGAAGAAGAUCCAGCGGGUGAAGAGGGCAGGGAGGAUGGAGCCAAUUCAUCCAGCGCCCCUGGCGUUUCUUGGCUGGAGAUUGCCCCAGACGACGGCUGCCCUGAGCGGGGUCAAGCCCCAGUGGGGGUAUUUGCUGCUCCCUUGAGGGUUUCUAUUUUUCUAAUAAAAUGUUGCCAACCCCAAAGGUUUGUGGUGUC